rnacentral:rRNA from 1 species
CCUACGGGAGGCAGCAGUGAGGAAUAUUGGUCAAUGGGCGGAAGCCUGAACCAGCCAAGUAGCGUGCGGGAUGAAGGCCCUACGGGUCGUAAACUGCUUUUGCACGGGGAUAACACCCUCCACUUGUGGAGGUCUGCAGGUACCGUACGAAUAAGGGCCGGCUAAUUCCGUGCCAGCAGCCGCGGUAAUACGGAGGAACCGAGCGUUAUCCGGAUUUAUUGGGCUUAAGGGGAGCGUAGGCGGGCGUUAAAGUCAGCUGUAAAAUCGCGCGGCUCAACCGCGCCCCGCAGUUGAAACUGGGCGCCUUGAGUUCACAAGAGGUAGGCGGAAUUCGUGGUGUAGCGGUGAAAUGCAUAGAUAUCACGAAGAACCCCGAUUGCGAAGGCAGCCUGCCGGGGUGCAACUGACGCUGAGGCUCGAAGGUGCGGGUAUCAAACAGGAUUAGAUACCCGUGUAGUC